rnacentral:rRNA from 1 species
AACGAACGCUGGCGGCAUGCCUAACACAUGCAAGUCGAACGAUUGCCUUCGGGUGAUAGUGGCGCACGGGUGCGUAACGCGUGGGAAUCUGCCCUUAGGUUCGGAAUAACAGCUGGAAACGGCUGCUAAUACCGGAUGAUAUCGCGAGAUCAAAGAUUUAUCGCCUGAGGAUGAGCCCGCGUUGGAUUAGGUAGUUGGUGGGGUAAAGGCCUACCAAGCCGACGAUCCAUAGCUGGUCUGAGAGGAUGAUCAGCCACACUGGGACUGAGACACGGCCCAGAAUCCUACGGGAGGCAGCAGUGGGGAAUAUUGGACAAUGGGCGCAAGCCUGAUCCAGCAAUGACGGGUGAGUGAUGAAGGCCCUAGGGUUGUAAAGCUCAUUUACCCGGGAAGAUAAUGACUGUACCGGGAGAAUAAGCCCCGGCUAACUCCGUG